rnacentral:rRNA from 1 species
UACAGAGGGGGCAAGCGUUAUUCGGAAUUAUUGGGCGUAAAGGGCGCGUAGGCGGCUUGGCAAGUGGAUGGUGAAAUCCCUCGGCUUAACCGAGGAACUGCCGUCCAAACUGCUUCGCUUGAGACCGGGAGAGGUGAGUGGAAUUCCCAGUGUAGCGGUGAAAUGCGUAGAUAUUGGGAGGAACACCAGUGGCGAAGGCGGCUCACUGGACCGGUACUGACGCUGAUGCGCGAAAGCUAGGGGAGCAAACAGG